rnacentral:rRNA from 1 species
AUUGAACGCUGGCGGCAUGCCUAACACAUGCAAGUCGAACGGCAGCACGGCAGUAGCAAUACUGUGGGUGGCGAGUGGCGGACGGGUGAGGAAUACGUCGGAAUCUGCCCAGUCGUGGGGGAUAACUAGCCGAAAGGUUAGCUAAAUACCGCAUACGACCGAGAGGUGAAAGCGGGGGACCGCAAGGCCUCGCGCGAUUGGAUGAGCCGACGUCGGAUUAGCUAGUUGGUGGGUAAAGGCCCACCAAGGCGACGAUCCGUAGCUGGUCUGAGAGGAUGAUCAGCCACACUGGAACUGAGACACGGUCCAGACUCCUACGGGAGGCAGCAGUGGGGAAUAUUGGACAAUGGGCGCAAGCCUGAUCCAGCAAUGCCGCGUGUGUGAAGAAGGCCUCGG